rnacentral:rRNA from 1 species
GACGAACGCUGGCGGCGUGCCUAAUACAUGCAAGUAGAACGCUGAAGGAGGAGCUUGCUUCUCUGGAUGAGUUGCGAACGGGUGAGUAACGCGUAGGUAACCUGCCUGGUAGCGGGGGAUAACUAUUGGAAACGAUAGCUAAUACCGCAUAAUAGUAGAUGUUGCAUGACAUUUGCUUAAAAGGUGCAAUUGCAUCACUACCAGAUGGACCUGCGUUGUAUUAGCUAGUUGGUGGGGUAACGGCUCACCAAGGCGACGAUACAUAGCCGACCUGAGAGGGUGAGCGGCCACACUGGGAGUGAGACACGGCACAGACUCCUACGGGAGGCAGCAGUAGGGAAGCUUCGGCAAUGGGCGGGAGUCUGACCGAGCAACGCCGCGGGAGUGAAGAAGGUUUUCGGAUCGUAAAGCUCUGUUGUAAGAGAAGAACGAGUGUGAGAGUGGAAAGUUCACACUGUGACGGUAUCUUACCAGAAAGGGACGGCUAACUACGUG